GUCUCCGUGGCGCAAUUGGUUAGCGCGUUCGACUGUUACCGGAGCCACGGGCGGAGUGACAUCGAGAGGUUGACAGUUCAAUCCUGUCCGGGGACG
rnacentral:tRNA from 1 species